ensembl:lncRNA
GUGAGGAAGCCUGCACAUUACAAAGCUGAAUUCAAGACCUAAUUCUGCCAGUCCCACUGAGUGGAUUUCCUUUCUUGUUUUGAAUUCCAGAGACUAAGCCAGUACCUUUCAGUGAACUCAACAGAUUGAACAAGACAAGUGUAAGUGGUUUUCCAGAUCUACUUUUAUUCGCAUAGUUCUUCCCUGAACGCUUUCCAAACUUCACAUGUCUCAAAUCUAAAUUUGCUGAAUAAAUGUCAAGCAGCUAAAUCCGAGCAAUGCUGCUAAAGGACUUGACUCGCACCCUUCUGGUGACUGGUUACCACGUAGCAAGAAUGUGAUUGCAAUGGAAGCUGAUCUGUAGCCUGAGUGAUGCCAAUACUUGAAACCAUAACAGCAUCAAGAUGAGAGAGUGGAAAAAUGGAUGGUGUUUCUGGAUAGAUGUUCAUCUGGAUGCGUACUCACAAUCCUUACUAGUAUAAGUCUUGGGUGCGCUGCCCUUCUUCCUCCUUUGGCCAAUCCCUCUGUUCUCCCCAACUUGUGAUGUAUUUUAGUUGUCUGCACCACAAGCACUUCUAUGUUUCUCUUGCUGGCAACCUUAAGCAGCAUCUCAAGUUUUCUUACUUUGUAUAAAACAGCCUGCUUCAAGGAAAUCAAAUUAUAAACUUUGUCUCCCUCCUUGAAAAUGUGCCUUUUCUCGCUUCAGUGGGAGAGGUAGAAAGAUGGUGUGCAAAAGGUCUGCAAGAUGAAAACAGGGAAUUACAGCUUUUCUGUUGGUGAACAUCCAGGUUGCUGAGUGCACAG